UGUUCUUCGUGAACAUGGCGUACUGCUCAGUAACACGUGGAUAACCUGCCCUUGGGUCCGGCAUAACCCCGGGAAACUGGGGAUAAUUCCGGAUAACGCACAUAUGCUGGAAUGCUUUAUGCGUCAAAUGGAUUCGUCUGCCCAAGGAUGGGUCUGCGGCCUAUCAGGUAGUAGUGGGUGUAAUGUACCUACUAGCCGACGACGGGUACGGGUUGUGAGAGCAAGAGCCCGGAGAUGGAUUCUGAGACAUGAAUCCAGGCCCUACGGGGCGCAGCAGGCGCGAAAACUUUACAAUGCGGGAAACCGUGAUAAGGGGACACCGAGUGCCAGCAUCAUAUGCUGGCUGUCCGGGUGUGUAAAAUACACCUGUUAGCAAGGGCCGGGCAAGACCGGUGCCAGCCGCCGCGAUAACACCGGCGGCCCGAGUGGUGAUCGUGAUUAUUGGGUCUAAAGGGUCCGUAGCCGGUUUGGUCAGUCCUCCGGGAAAUCUGACGGCUUAACCGUUAGGCUUUCGGAGGAUACUGCCAGGCUUGGAACCGGGAGAGGUAAGAGGUACUACAGGGGUAGGAGUGAAAUCUUGUAAUCCCUGUGGGA
rnacentral:rRNA from 1 species